rnacentral:tRNA from 1 species
GGACGAUUAGCUCAGUUGGUUAGAGCGUCUCGUUGACGUCGAGAAGGUCAGAAGUUCGAAUCUUCUAUCGUCCACCA